CUGACCCCAAUGGCCAAAGUUUCAGUAGGGUUUGAGUCACACUGACAGUAGCUCAGUCUUGAAUGCUGAGGCUAAAGGGUGGUCCCGUGGAGGACUCAAAUGUCCCAGCUGGAAUAGACACAGCAGAGGUGAGGGCCAGCAGGAUAAAGUGGGGCCAGGCACUAGUACCACCAUCAUCACCGGCAUCAUCCACACCCUCACCACCAUGAUCAUGGCUGCCACCGUCACCUCCACCACCACUGCUCAAAUGUUAGAGGAGGGGGAGAUGUCGGAGAGAACCGGUAAGUUUCCUGGGGUUAGUGUGGUUAGCACGAUAAUGCUCCCCCAACUCCUGAGAUGCCCCUGCUCAAAGGUGCCGUCCACAGACAUUGUUACGUGGAAGCCUCGGAAGGGGAACAUAUCCUGGGUUGUCCCCGUGGCCCGUGCUAUUACAGAUCCCUCACUCACAUGAAGCAGGAGGUGAAACCAUCACACGGAUCUGCUUGUGUGGCUUGGAGCAUCCUGCGUCACGUGUCUAGGAGUGGGGACACCUGCCUGCAGAGAGAGGGACCGUUGUCUCGACAGGUGGUUGGGCUGAUACUUCACAGAGGAAAGAUGGAGGUGGCAGAAAAAGCAAGCAGGGCAUUGGUGUGGACUAACACAGGCCUGCAGGAUGCUCUCAUCUAAGCAAGUGGCCUGGGCGCUGAUGUGAGCCCGGAUGGUGAAUUGGUAUCCUCAUCUGACUGUGUCAGUGCCCCCCUGUGACCUUGCAUGGCCCCCUAAGGAGCUGGGAACACUGGGGAUGAGAACCCACCCAAAGAGGACGAAUCUGAGGGAGAGGAAGUGGGCUGAAGGCAACUUCUCUAAAAUAUUAAAAGCCUGUGGCCGCCAGAGGCCGGCGGCGAGGCCUGGGCUCCGGCAGCAGGUCCUGACCGUUGAGCCCCCGGCAUAGCCCUGUUGAGCAAUAGGGACCUGCCCUGGUGUUGUCCUCACUGCCUGGCCCACUCUUCUUGGCACAGGCAGAGAGGUGGCGGGUCGUGCGGCUGUGUGGGGCAGGGAGGCACAUGUGGCCGUGUGUUGGGAGGGACGGGGUGGUAAGGGAAUAACGGUCACUGACGGGUUCUUGCUGUAUACUGGGCUCUAUUCUGAGCCCCAGACAGUGUGGGAGCCCCAUUCCUGUGAGUCUGUUCUGUCUCAGGGUUCAGAGGCAGAGCCUGAAGUUAAGAGAGGCAUAGUUAAUUGUCUGAGGUCACACAGCACCCAAGAAAGAUGGCGGAUGUAGGGAUAAGCCCAGAGUGCCAAGGCAGUACUGCCAGCAGUCCCCACACUCCUGCCCACAUCCCUGCUGCUCUCCUCUGCCUUUGGCCCACUGAGGCUCCUGACUCCUCUGGCCAGUGUCCUCCCUGGGCCGUCUGGAAGGGUCUCUACCUCUGGACUGAGUGAUGAGGUAGGAGACAGGAUGCAGCUAAGAGCAGGGAGGAAGCCAUCAUACGAUGCCUGUAGUCGUCUGAGGCAGCGCUCAGGGAGGCUCUCACAAGCCAGGCCCUCUGACCAUCUGAAAGGACAAGGUCUCUGCUCUGUGGCCCCGCUGGGGCUGGCUCAGCAGUGUCCCAGAGCUUUUUUUCUGUGGUGCCUGUUUCAGCUUCCUGAUCUGUAGGCUGACACUGCAAUGGGGCACAGGCUGUGGGGUAGGCAUGAUGCCUGUCUCCAGCACAGCCCCGUCCAUCCUGAAGUGGGACGGUCCUGGUCCAUGCCUACGGAAUGAAUUACACACCUGACGGUGGCUCUACAUGGAAGAGUGCCAGUCAUGAUGUUUGGAUCUUCAGGUCUGUUCUGGGGUCCACUCGUGGCUACUCUCCAGCUUCGGGGACUCCUGCGACUGAGUUUUCUCACUAGAGGAAUGCAACUUAGUAUCACUCAUGUGACCACAUGUCAUGGGAUCUGGAAGAGAGAAGAGACAGACCCGUGUGCUGGGAGACAUGGGGGAAGGCUUGGGGGGCUUCGACUUUAAUCUGGUCGUCUGUGGUGGAGACAGAAAGGGAUUCUGGCUGAUGCCACCUGUUCCUCUGGUUCUCUCUUUGGUGCUGUUGCUACCUACUGUGCACAGAGGACACUGUGCCUACCUACUGUGCACAGAAGACACUUGCUAUCUAUUGUGUGCAGAGGACAUGUUGCCACCUACUGUGCGCAUAGGACACUGUGCUACCUACUGUGCAUAGAGGACACUAUGCUAUCUACUGUGCUCAGAGGACACUGUUGCCACCUACUGUGUGCAGAGGUCACUGUUGCCACCUACAGUGCGCAGAGGAUGCUGUGGCUACCUACUGUGUACAGAGGACACUAUUGCUACCUACUGUGUGCAGAGGACACUGUUGCUAUGGACUGUGCAGAGGACACUGUGGCUACCUACUAUGUGCUGAGCCAUGCUUAGAAUCUGCAUUUUUUUUUGUUUGUUUUUGUUUUGGCUCCUGUGUCACACUUCAGCACGAAGCACAGAGAUUCACGUGUGAGGGACGCAGCACACAUGUGACAGAUGGCAAAUGUCCCAGGGACCUUCCUUCUGUCCCACAGAGAGGUGCAACCCUCCACCCUGCACCCUGCCUGCCUCUCACCCACCCGGGCCGGCUGGCAGGAAAGUCCCUGCUGGUUUCUUUUUCUUGCCACUGAAGGAGGCAACAGGUGUGCUUUUCUGAAACUCAUGGCCCAGUUAAUUUUACACAGCAAGCGAGAGGAAAAUGACGGUGUGGGGUGGGUGUCACUGGGCACAGUGAGAAGCCUGAUUUUACCACUGGACAGAUGCCAUCAGACUGGGACCAGACAGAGGGACUGGGUCUGUUGCUGGUGGCUGUCAAUACAAGAGCCCUUCGAUUCUGGUUUCCCAUUUUAAGAUGAGGGGGUGGACAGAGUGAUGCUGGAGGUCUCUCCCAGAAUGCACUUGUGUAUGUCCACCUCCUGGUCCUCUUCCUUCUCAUUUUAUGUCCCAGCUGCAGACGACAUUCAUACCAGAGUAUGGAGGUAUUUGUUUGUUUUUUUGUGACAUGGAGACACACAGCAGGUAAUGUGUAUUGUAGAGCUCCCAGCAUCCUUUGCAUCUUCUCUGUCAAUUCUACCCCUGGCCCACGUGGGUGCCGUAUCUGAACUGUAUCCUCUGUGUCUGUCUACUCCUCAAUCUCACCUUGCAGGGUCUCUGCUGAGACCUUCCAACUGCUCCAUCACCCUCUGAACCCAGGUCCUGAGGAGCCCUUGUUCCUCACAGCCUCCGAAGCUUCGAGGACAGAGCCUCGGCUCAGACCCUGGCCGCCGGCAGAGUGGUGUUUCUCUGUGGUGUGUGUGACAUUCACUUUGCGCUGUGUGUGACUGACAUUCACCUCUGUGUGUGUGACAUGUCUCUCACCUCUUCUCUACUUUCCAUCCUUGAGAUCACUCUCACAGGCAGCUUCUGCUGGCCAGUGACUGUGUUUCUGGACUGUUCUGCAGUGAAGCAGGAAGAUAUUCACUGAGCCUGUGAGGCUGUGCCUCGGCACUCACUACCGUAGAGUGCUACAGUUGGUCACUGUGCCUGACACAAGUGCCCUCUUCUUUGCCAACCUCCUUGUGGCCAAGUGUCUGCCAUCCCAGCAUGCUUCAUGACUCCCCGCCUGCCCUUGCCCACUUCCUCUGCUUCUCUCCAAGUCUGAGGCCCGAGACCAUGUGUGUGAGGCCUUCCAUGAGUGCAGCUGGCACGAAAACAGGAAUUACGGUGAGGGGUCCAGGUGUGUUACCAUAACCAGCUCUAGAAAAGGGUGGGGUGGCACAUAUCUUGUGCCUAUAGACCUCGCCGUUGAGGGCAGAGUGUGAUGUCUAGUCUGGGUAGCCAACCUGACCACAUCUGGAAUCAUCUAGAAUUCAAAAAUGGAGGGCACACCAGCGAGGGUUUUUCCCUUUUUGGUUAAUUUGAAGUAGGAAGAUCCACUUCUAAUCCAGACCUUGGGGAAGGGCCAUAGUUUCUGCUGGAAGCCUGAACGAGAACUCGGGAGAAGGAAGAGUUUGCUCUUUGCCUACUCACUUGCACCUUGUUAGGACGCCCACACUUUCUCUGGCAUCAGAGCCCACUUCUCUAGGAUUCUGGUGUAUAGUGAAGGCCACGAAGACAUUCGGCCUCACAGACUGAGCAAGCCACUCAGAGGUCCCCAACGCCCCUCCCCCAACAGCACUGCCUCUGCAUCAGCUCCUGCCUCUAGGUUCCUGCCCUGCUUGAUGUCCUUCGAUGAUGAACUGUGAUGUGCAAACAUAAACUAAACAAACCCUUUCCUACCCAA
rnacentral:lncRNA from 1 species